GUCCGUGCAAGGAUGAUCCUUUUGUGGACUAGAGUUUCUGAUCGGGACCUAUAUCCCUGAAUCUGAAGACUAACCCUUGGCUGUCUGAGCACGCAU